GAGCUGAGGCUUUGGUUCAAGAGGCUUUGAUGAGAAGAGGCAAAGGUCUUCAACCAGCUUUCAGGAUCCAAGCAAACUGCGAAUCAAGACACUGCAGAAUACAGGUGGCUUCAGUGAACAUGUCUAUGAUUUGGAACAGUACAUGAAAAUAAAGAUCCUUCUGACAAUGAAGGUCCAAGGCAAGGCCCAGGAAUAUGUAGACCACCUACAUCUCAG